rnacentral:rRNA from 1 species
CCUACGGGUGGCAGCAGUGGGGAAUAUUGCACAAUGGGGGAAACCCUGAUGCAGCGACGCCGCGUGAGUGAUGAAGUAUUUCGGUAUGUAAAGCUCUAUCAGCAGGGAAGAAGAUGACGGUACCUGACUAAGAAGCCCCGGCUAACUACGUGCCAGCAGCCGCGGUAAUACGUAGGGGGCAAGCGUUAUCCGGAUUUACUGGGUGUAAAGGGAGCGUAGACGGCGCUGCAAGCCAGAUGUGAAAGCCCGGGGCUCCACCCCGGGACUGCAUUUGUAACUGUGUGGCUGGAGUGUCGGAGAGGCAGGCGUAAUUCCUCGUGUAGCGGUGAUAUGCGUCGAUAUUAG